rnacentral:lncRNA from 1 species
UCCAAUUCAAUUGUUGGGGGUGCUUUAGCUUUACUGGACAACUAAGCCUAAAAAUCAAAUAAGAUAUAGAGUUUGAUAAAAAGAGAUCAAAAGAAAAAAAAAUCUGUAAGGUAAAAUUUUUUUUAUGAUAAAUAUAUAUCAUAAGCUAAAGGGUGAAAAAAGCACUUAAAUUUUUUCAAAAAAUAAAAAUUAAGCUCUUGUUUUUUUUAUUUGGGUACUUAAACUUUUAAAAUGUAUCAAAAAG